rnacentral:rRNA from 1 species
AAUCAACGCUGGCGGCGUGCCUAACACAUGCAAGUCGAACGCGAAAGUCCCGCAAGGGAUAAGUAGAGUGGCAAACGGGUGAGUAACGCGUGGGCGACCUACCUCUGAGUGGGGGAUAACCUUCCGAAAGGAGGGCUAAUACCGCAUGACAUCCCGUGUUUGGAUACACGGACAUCAAAGCCGGGGAUCGUAAGACCUGGCGCUUGGAGAGGGGCCCGCGUCCGAUUAGCUAGUUGGNGGGGUAACGGCUCACCAAGGCUCCGAUCGGUAUCCGGCCUGAGAGGGCGGACGGACACACUGGAACUGAGACACGGUCCAGACUCCUACGGGAGGCAGCAGUGGGGAAUUGUUCGCAAUGGGCGCAAGCCUGACGACGCAACGCCGCGUGGAGGAUGAAG